AGAGCAGGGAUAGUGUGUAUCGGCGUUGUGCAAAUUUUACAGUGAACUAUGUUCGAAAGAGUUUCCUGCAAAAUUGAUUUGGGGAAGAUGGGCAGUUAUGCUUCAUGUCUACCAUUGAUUCUUUUCAACAAUCAUCUUCCCCAUAUUC